CCUGUGGUCCUGUAGGUGAUGUGAAUGAAAAGUCUGAAGUUUCACUUCCCUUUGACUGUUCUGAUCACGGAUCGCCGCCUUUGGAGAGGAGUCAUGGAUUUCUCGAUGGCAUUCAAGAUCCACUUUCUCGGAUUUUUCUGUUUCUUGGCGGUGUCUUUUUGGUUCUGCGAUAAUUUCCUUUGUUGGGUUUUCAUGUUCGUUGUUGUUUUCGCCGUAGUUCAAUCUUACUGUUACUGCUUUCUGGAUUUUCAGAUUUUCUCUGUUCUUUCCGUGUUCCGACGAAACUUCACCGCUCAAGUCCCUUUGGAGUACUUUGUUUAUGGAAAAACCUUUGGUGCGGAGCAGAUGUUCCUAAGUGAUCUUCGCAAGUGUUCGGUGAAUAUGUUGCCUCGGCCUGUACAGGAGGAAAGUGUUUCUUCUCUGCCACUCUUGGUCUUCUGUGUGAACGCGACACGAGUUGGAACCGACACCACAGCUGCACUCGCAAAGUGUGAGAUGGUUUGUGGAAGAAGAUCGGUCAUCAUGGUGGUGAUGAAUCAUGUUCCGAGUUGUGCCACGUACAAGAACCCUCAUAGCUACGCAAAUGUCCAACAACAGAACGUAUUGGCCACAUAUGACUGUUUCUUCUCUGAAAGGAAAGGAUUGCACAGGUGUGAAGAGAACAACAAGGUGGUGAGCCAAGUGAGGGAUUUAAUCAAAGGGUGAGCUCAACUUAAGACACUGGAUCCUAUGAAUGGAACAGUAGGACAGUAGUUUUGGGUACAGUAGGAGGAGAUGCAAAUGUACUGGGUAACAAUGGCUGUAAUGUUAGCUAUGAAACACAAUUAUGGCUUUUGUUCAUUACACUUAGAAAGCGAUUGAGUACUUAAGUUGAAUUUUUGCUGCUUAUUUGCUUGUACUGAAAAUAAAGGUUUGCUUUGCCGGUGAUCUCUGAUUUUGUGUGAUCAAAUCGGUAAACUGUAGGAAUAUGUCCCUACAGUUUAUGAAAUCACGAUAUUUCAAAGCAAAUGGUUCACAAUCCAGCUGCACCGCCUAUCAUGUCAAAACAUUGUUUUUGAGACUUCCUGCUUGCCUGAACUCCUACUUUUUUGCUACUACCUGUGGAGUUUCCUAUCUGUCCGAUCACUCGCUACUAUGCACUUGAUUGAUGAAUCACUGCAGAUAUUUAGCUAUCUUCUGUAUACAGCACAUGGUUGCGGUUAACAUAAUUUGCUGAUGGUGCGGCUGUUCCACUGACACAGUGCCCCCUGUAGGUUAGAACACAAAUUUAUGAUUUGUUCAGGUUGCUGGCGAUCGUUUGUCUACUCUUCGUGAAGUACACCUUGGGAUGUUCAACAUCUAUCAACUAAUGCCAGCAGAUGGAAGGCCCAAUUUAACGUCCAUCCAAUGGAGGGCACACAGUGAUGAAUGGCCCUGCAUGUGAUACAACAGGGUGACAGUUUAUAGCUGGUUCGGGAUUUGAAUCCAGACAAGACAACACGGAGGUGAGUUGGCACACUUAUAGGCCAUCCUUUCAGCCCAGUUAUUGAACUAUAAAUUCACCUUUCUGUCCCUACCCUGGGAUUGGUGUCAUACUGGUUGGAGUGUCCGCUCUGGCUCUGGGAGGUUGAUUGUUCAUACCCUGAGUCAUACCAAAAACCCUUUUUUAAAUGGUACAUGCUGCUUCCUUGCUUGACACUCAUCAUUUAAGAGGAUAGAGCAUGGACAAACAACAUUGGGAAGGCAAUGGCAAACCACCCAGAAACUGCUUCGGCAGCACCAACACUCUGUAAAUAGAGUAUGGCACAUCAAAAUCAAAAUCUGAUUUAUUUGAGUUCAUGCAUUUUGUAUUAAGAGCGGUUUUAUGGACCUGUCUGACUGUCACCAAUUAUAGCUAAGCAAGCAAAAUCACGUUCAUAAGUAGAACAGUCGUUUAGCAUAGGUAGGACAUGCUCUCACUCUGUACCUCCAUAAAGAUUGACUUGUAGCUCCUUCCCCCAGUUUAGUUCAACAUUUACUUUUCUCCUCAACCGCUGGAAGAGGCACACUCCCUUGAGCUGCAAGGCUUCACAAUUUAUCACAACCUGUCUUGAUCAGAUCUCCAAACAGACCUCAAAAUGCUGGUCAAUGCCCUGGAAUUCUCAACAGAACAAAGUUCAUUCCAGAACUAAAAGCUCGUCAUUGUUUCCACACACAUAUGGCUUUCAGACAAAGUAUCAUGGAGUACAGGUCCCCACUCUGAACUGGUGCAGCUGCUUUGGUUUCUCAUCUUGCUCCCAUGGAGGCGGUUUCUCAUCUUGCUCCCCAAUCUUACUCCUCUUGCCCUCUUUGGCCCCUUCAGAUCGCACAUGUUCUUUCAAAUCCCACACCUGGUUACCAUCUCCAAUCCUAAGGUGAUCGCUCACCACCAUUUCCUCAUUCCCGUGCUUUCUCUCCUGUGGAAAACGACACCCUAAGUUUGUUGUGCUAUGGCCCUCCUUCCAAUCACUGUUGAUGACCCUCCACCCCCACCCCACCCCUGCCCUCUUUGCUCUCUGCCACCAAUCCACACAAAUGUUUCCUUUUUCCCAUUUAUUCCUCAGUCUGUGAACUUGCUUGCAUUGUCAUUUGGCUCCUCGUGAGCGAAUAUGUCUAGAUAAAAACGAUUUCAAUGUCAGAAGUGAUUAGGAUGGAAGAAAGCAGGAGUUUUGGGUUGGGUGUGGCAUGAUUAAGGAGGUAUAAGGGAGGAGAGAGGGGGGGCAGAGAGGGAGAUGUGCCCAGAUGCAACAGCACUUCCUGCAUUGGAGCAACAGAAAGUAAAGCAUCAUACUCUGCCCCUCUGCAAGAGUGAACUCUUGUAAUGAUUCAUAACCUUUUUGUGAGACACUCAAAUCGACAAACAAAUGUUUGCAAAUUAUGCACAGCUUUCAUUAAUUUUUUUCUUCAAUCAAUUUUUCAAUUAAACCAAUUCAAUCAGAAGUAAAACCAUGAGUAAGAGAAAUGUAUCAUAGAAAUGCAUCAUUGAUUCUUAUCGUGUUGAAAACCGUGGAACGAUGCCUUUAAAGUUUAAACCAUCUGCAACACCUAAUGUGGAUACUGGAGCAAGCACACCUCUAACACCAUCCCACCUGCACUCUCCACUUCUACCCAUCACUCCUCUGUUCACUCCCAUCUACCGCCUGUCUGGGUUCUUCCCGACAUCUUUGAUAUUUGUUCCUUUCACAUUUCUUUCUACUUUUUUUCACAAUUCUCUUUAUUCAUUCUAAUUCUUGCUUUUUCUUCUCUGUCAUCGCUUUUACUCUUUAUUCCUCUCUAUAGUUAACUAUCUAAGGAGAAGUGAAUUCUUGCAGAAUCCAAAAAGGGGGCUUAUUUUCACCCAAAAAGGCCCAAAAAAGGGGAAUGUAAUUUUCCCCCCAAAAUGCCCGAAAAAGAGGACUUUAUUUAUGUUCAAAAACGCCCAAAAAGGGCACUUAUUUUCACCCAAAAAUGUCCAAAAAAGAGGACUCCAUGUCAUUUUCAUGCUCGCUCAGUCUGGGUUGCUUUUGUCUCGACUGGAAAAAAAUCCGGAAGAAUUCUCAUGUUUAUUUAUUUUUCCACCCAUUUGAAAAAAAAGUAUUAAUUGUACAUUUGUACAUUUUUACAUUUUUGUACAUUUUAAAAUGUACAUUAAAAAAACUGUAUUCAUUAUGUGACACUGCUUUCUUUCCUUGCGAUGGAGUAUCCCCUUUGCACUGUGUUUAUCACCGCUCACAAGUUGAUAUCUUUUGUUGGUAAAGUGAGACCCCACCUAUGGAGGGAAUGGGAUAGCAGCGUGAGGGUAGGGGAAAGCAGCAUAAGGGCAAUGGAAGGAAGUGUGAGGGGAGGGAGUGCAGUGUAAGGGGAGGGUUGGCGGCAUACCAGAGCAUUAUCGGGGUGACAAAACACACCCAAACAGCAAUGUGUUCUUUUUAACUGCCAUGUUCGAUAUAAAACCGGGAGGAAGCAUAUAAAAAUUGCAACCAAUGCUAUCUACCUGGCAAAGGCCUGCCGCAUACAUGCCCCUCUCCCCAUUACAUGUUCCAACAACCUCCUUUUGGUCCAUGCUAACUGUGCACAUGCACUGGUGAUAUACUCAUCUUUACCCUUGCACACAUGCAUGGAUUUUCCCACACCCACACUGCACAGGAGAACGUCCCGCUUGGCUUCAGCACUGCAGCACGUCUGCUCCCCAUGUGCAGAAUCACAUGGUUCACGCCACAGCCGCAUAACCUCCACAGCACCACGCUUCAUCGGCCCAGGUGCAAGUUUGAGUUUGAGUUCAGAUCGCGUGCCUGUGAAACCUUCGCACCGCACACACAUUAACAAGUAUGCAGGCAUGUACACACCCGAUAGAGAGUCAUUUCUACGCAUUUCUACCACGUCCGUUUGUGCUGUGUCCAUACAUCCUCGCUUGCAGAAACUACUGCUAUUAAUAUAUUGUGGCAACUAUUAGUAUUGUUGCGGAAAUGGCCCUUAUUGUGUGAUUAAAUAUAGGAUUCGCCCAGAUCCCCCAUUGAAUGCAUGUUUAGCCAAGUUGUUAGGUAAAUUGACAUUACAUGUGUGUCGGGAGGUAUAAGAGGCUGUUUAUUCUUCGUACAGUGGUGGUGGACUGAGAGGUUCUUCUUAUUUCCCCUCUCCAGACGAGGUCCCGCCCAGUCAGCUGAGAGGGUGUGGCCUGAAGAAGUGAGCGCCGGAAAGGCGAAGGUGGGACUGAGAGGUGGUGCGAUCGGCAGUAAGAGGAACUGCCUGAGCCACGAUACGGGCGAUCGGCAGUAAGAGUGACUGCCUGCUUUGUCGAGUCUGCCUUCUGCUGGAUGAGAGGCUGCUGGAGUCGAGUCUGGAGUCGGCUUUGAGGCGAGCGAGCGCCGGAUCGGCAGUAAGAGGAACUGCCUGAGCCACGAGAAGCGGCGCGCCCAAAAAGAAAGGAGAAGUGAAACUGCAGUCGGCUGAGAGGCGACAGGGAGACUGAGACUGGCCGAGUCUGCCAUUUGGCAGUGGGAGAGGCCGCCUGCACGUCGGGUCGGGCGAUCGACUUUGUGGAGGAGUGGUUUUGGCCGGCGGUGCCUCCUCGGCCACAGACCCAACCUGCAGAGCCCAACACCUCGAUUUGGCCUGAUCUGUUGAACAGGCCAGGCCUGGACUUGUAUGCUGGACCUUGUGAAAAGCCAGCUGGAGCAUACCACAGAUCUUUCGUCUUUGGCCGUCGACCUUACGCGGGGUCUGAACGCGCCGUGGCUGCGUGCGUGAGGGCUGCGACAAAUGGACACGCCGCCAUUUUGCCACGCGGCGUGUUUGAGCUUGGGUGCUCGAAUCCGUGGACAUCGGCUUGUCACGAGCCACAUUCCUGCUUUUCACACUUUUCCUCUCGUCUAUGAAGCAUCACCAAGUACUCUGUGUCUUGUCUACAUGCUGUCCAUGUCUUGUCUGCAUGUUGUUUAAGGUUUAUCUCGUUAGGGUCCCCUUCGAAACCCAUAAUCCAUAGCUCCCCAGUUAAGAACGGGUUAUAGAUUAAUUAUAACAUUGUCGUGAAUGCUUUGCUUGUGUCAUGUUCCCCGAUGUGUCCCCAAUGUUCUCCUGAAACAACUUGCCUUUGCCUCAUGGAAAGCAAACCCAACUGGGG
ensembl:lincRNA